UGGGGAAUUUUCCGCAAUGGGCGCAAGCCUGACGGAGCAACGCCGCGUGAGGGAGGAAGGCUCUUGGGUUGUAAACCUCUUUUCUCAAGGAAGAUAAUGACGGUACUUGAGGAAUCAGCAUCGGCUAACUCCGUGCCAGCAGCCGCGGUAAUACGGAGGAUGCAAGCGUUAUCCGGAAUAAUUGGGCGUAAAGCGUUCGUAGGUGGUUUUGUAAGUCUGCUGUUAAAGCGUGUAGCUCAACUACAUAAUGGCGGUGGAAACUGCGUAACUAGAGUACGUUCGGGGUAGAGGGAAUUCCUGGUGUAGCGGUGAAAUGCGUAGAUAUCAGGAAGAACACCGGUGGCGAAAGCGCUCUACUAGGCCGUAACUGACACUGAGAGACGAAAGCUAAGGGAGCGAAUGGGAUUAGAUACCCCUGUAGUCC
rnacentral:rRNA from 1 species